GCACGACACGACCGCAACCAACCCAGACGAAGCCAUCUACGAUAUGUUGCAAGCAUACUGAAGUAUUCAAAUAUAUUUAUUGAGAACAUUACAUUAUAUAAUUAAUAUUAUAUAUAAUUAUAUAUAAUUAAUAUUAUGUAUAAUUAAUAUGAACUCAAAUGGCAUAAGCACAAACGAGACGCGAAGUCCCAUGCAAGGUGCAAACCCCGAAGCAGCGAAUACGUACAUAAAUAUAAAUACACACAUACAUAGAAUACAAAUAUAUAAAAGCCGCUUCCCCCUAUUAGUAUGCACCAUGAACACAACCACCUGAAUGCUUCACGGAUGUGUUAGCAAAAUAAUUUCAAACUCACAAGCAUAAUGAAUGCUUCACGGAUGUGUUAGCAUAAUAAUUUCAAACUCACAAGCAUAAUGAAUGCUUCACGGAUGUGUUAGCA